rnacentral:rRNA from 1 species
GAUGAACGCUAGCUACAGGCUUAACACAUGCAAGUCGAGGGGAAACGGCAUUGAGUGCUUGCACUCUUUGGACGUCGACCGGCGCACGGGUGAGUAACGCGUAUCCAACCUUCCCAUUACUGUGGGAUAACCUGCCGAAAGGCAGACUAAUACCGCAUAGUCUUCGAUGACGGCAUCAGAUUUGAAGUAAAGAUUUAUCGGUAAUGGAUGGGGAUGCGUCUGAUUAGCUUGUUGGCGGGGUAACGGCCCACCAAGGCUACGAUCAGUAGGGGUUCUGAGAGGAAGGUCCCCCACAUUGGAACUGAGACACGGUCCAAACUACUACGGGAGGCAGCAGUGAGGAAUAUUGGUCAAUGGACGGAAGUCUGAACCAGCCAAGUAGCGUGCAGGAUGACGGCCCUAUGGGUUGUAAACUGCUUUUGUAUGGGGAUAAAGUUAGGGACGUGUCCCUAUUUGCAGGUACCAUACGAAUAAGGACCGGCUAAUUCCGUG